AACGAACGCUGGCGGCAGGCCUAACACAUGCAAGUCGAACGAUAUAGUGGCAGACGGGUGAGUAACGCGUGGGAACGUACCGUUCACUACGGAAUAGCUCCGAGAAAUUGGUGGUAAUACCGUAUACGCCCUCAGGGGGAAAGAUUUAUCGGUGAAAGAUCGGCCCGCGUUGGAUUAGCUAGUUGGUGAGGUAAUGGCUCACAAAGGCGACGAUCCAUAGCUGGUCUGAGAGGAUGAUCAGCUACACUGGGACUGAGACACGGCCCAGACUCCUACGGGAGGCAGCAGUGGGGAAUUUUGCACAAUGGGCGAAAGCCUGAUGCAGCCAUGCCGCGUGAAUGAUGAAGGCCUUAGGGUUGUAAAAUUCUUUCGUCAGGGAUGAUAAUGACCGUACCUGAAGAAGAAGCCCCGGCUAACUUCGUGCCAGCCGCCGCAAUAACAC
rnacentral:rRNA from 1 species